AAAACAGCCCUACGGGAGGCAGCAGUGGGGAAUAUUGGACAAUGGGCGCAAGCCUGAUCCAGCAAUGCCGCGUGGAUGAAGAAGGUCUUCGGAUUGUAAAGUUCUUUCGGCGGGGACGAUGAUGACGGUACCCGCAGAAGAAGCCCCGGCUAACUUCGUGCCAGCAGCCGCGGUAAUACGAAGGGGGCUAGCGUUGCUCGGAAUGACUGGGCGUAAAGGGCGCGUAGGCGGAUUGAUUAGUUAGGCGUGAAAUUCCUGGGCUUAACCUGGGGGCUGCGCUUAAUACAGUCAGUCUAGAGUAUGGAAGAGGGUCGUGGAAUUCCCAGUGUAGAGGUGAAAU
rnacentral:rRNA from 1 species